UACAGAGGUCCCAAGCGUUGUUCGGAUUCACUGGGCGUAAAGGGUGCGUAGGUGGUGAGGUAAGUCGGAUGUGAAAGCUCCGAGCUCAACUCGGAAAUGGCAUUGGAAACUACCUUGCUAGAGGGUUUGAGGGGGGACUGGAAUACUUGGUGUAGCAGUGAAAUGCGUAGAUAUCAAGUGGAACACCAGUGGCGAAGGCGAGUCCCUGGACAACACCUGACACUGAGGCACGAAAGCUAGGGGAGCAAACAGG
rnacentral:rRNA from 1 species